AUUGCUUCCUAUGUGAGGGAGAACAAGAAGGCCAGAGACUGCCUGAUCCCCAUGGGGAUAACCUCGGAGAACGUGGCUGAGUGGUUUGGCAUUUCAAGGGAGAAACAAGACACCUUUGCUGUGGCCUCCCAGCAGAAGAAACUCUAGCCAGGUGAGCGAUGGAGCAGCUGCCAUCCUCUUGGCCCAGAGGUCGAAGGCAGAAGAGUUGGGCCUCCCCAUCCUCGGGGUCCUGAGGUCCUAUGCAGGUUGGAGUCUCCCCCCGCCCCCCCUGAUGUCAUGGACAUCGGACCUACAUAUGCCAUUCCUGCAGCCUUGGAGAAUGCAGCCAGGUGAGUGAUGGGGCAGCUGCUGGCCUGGAGGAUGCCUGCCCAGGUCUGAACCUCACCUCCAGGGCUGACAGUGAAUGAUAUGGACAUCUUUGAUAUCAGUGAGGCCAGGAAUCCCCCCUGAGAUGAACCCUCUGGGAGGAGCGGUGGCCCCGGGCCACCCCCUGGGCUGCACUGGGGCAUGACAGGACAUCAGCUGCUGAAUGAGCUCAAGUGCUGUGGGAAGAGGCUUCACCUGUCACCUCUUCCAGGGAGCCUUCCCUCAUUUCCCAUCCUCCAGCCCCUCACCUGACUCGGCUCCUGAAACAGGUAGCAUCUGGUCGGUCGGGAGCUUCUGGUAGGAGAGCAGCUCCAGGGAGAGUGAGAAGGACACAUCCACCUGUAUGGACAGGUGCUGGCUCAAGCUGCUGAAAGCAGGUCCAGUCUCAGGGGUUCCACAGCAAAGUGCUGCAGGCGACGCCUCCUUCCGGGAAUCUCUCUUUCUACCUACAGAGCCCAAUCAACCGUUGAUCACCCUGGUGGUCCCUGGAUCGAACAGCACUGUGCCACCCAGGAGAGAGGCAGUGGCUAUGGUCCCCACCCCAGGACGUUCACCUCAUUGUCCAAGCUCAUGAAACCCAGGGCGUAGCCAGUACACUCCACCUUCUGCUGGAUGUCGGAGCUGAGCACUGGAGGUGUGAAGGAGAUGUAGAUGGUGCUACUUCCCCCAGCAGGGACCACCUGCAUGGACACAGCAGCCUCAGUACUGCCCUGUGCCUGCUGGGAGGCCAGGGCAGACCCCCAGAGACAGGUCCACCUGGACUCACUCACCACCUGCUGGGGUCUGAUAUAGUAGGGGAGGUCGGAGGGCACCCCCGCAUGCUCCUGCAGGACAACUGAGAUGAUCUGCGCUGCAGCCCUGGUGCUGGCAUUGGAGUAGGCCUCCACCUGUCACCAAGAGUAGCUGAAGCUCUUAUACAGGCUCAGCCGGCCCCUGGGCUGUAUCUCAGCAACCCCGAGUGGCCAGCUCCCCUGCCCCCACAGCCCUGCUCACUGGAAAAGAAGCUGCAUGGCUGGACUCGGACACGCUGGAGGGGCUUGGGGACCAGGCACCUGCCUCUUACCAAGGACACCACAACUCUGAAGUCCAGUGGACAAUCUUCCAGGUAGAAAUAGAGAAAUGUGCAUGUGAUUAUGAGCCCAAGGAAGGGGAGGAACCACCAGAGGGAAGGGAAGCUGAAAAGAAAGCCCAAAGUAAAGAGGGAAGAUAAACAAAGGCCACAAAAAAAAAAAAAAAAAGGAACUGAAAAACAAAUAACAAAGCAAAAUAAAUCUUAAAAUGAGAUGGAAGAAUUAUAUGGAUUGACUAACUUUUCCCAUUCAAACAUUGAGAAUGUCAGGGUGUUUAAAAAAAAAAAAAAACUCGGCUGUCUACUGUUCACCAGAAACAAAGUCAUAAAGGGUGACAAUGGAAGAGUGGGUAAGGAAACCCCAGGUAAAUACCAAUGAGAAGACACCAAGGAGAGCAAAAGAAAGUAACAUGGAAUUUAGCCAGCAGCGUUCCAUAGGAGUCAGAGGAACAAUACAAAUGACAAGACUCAAUUUGAGAAGAAUAUCCAGUGUCUAAAUGCACCAACCAAUAUAGCAGCUAAAAGCAUAAAGAAAAACAACUGCAAAUACAAGGAGACAUUGACUUAGAAUGUGGGGAGAGGAGAGACUGCCAACACUUCCAGAAGUGCAGAGAUCUGUCCUAGAGCAGGGCUCUCUCCUGCGGCCAUGCCUUCCUGAGAGCCUGGGCAGCUUAGCUAUGAUAGUGCCAAGUCCUGCCACCUGACACGGGCUCAUUCUGCCCAGGGGGGUCAGCCUGGGGAUGCCUCACACACUCCCCAGGGGACUCAAUGAGGCCAGGCUGAUCCUGCUGUCUCCCUCAAGUCUCUGAGCUGCCCAUAGCUCUUCUGGUGGCACAGAAUACUCUUUGUCAUCACUCACUGCCCCAAGCAAUGCUGGCUUAUUUUCCCUCCAGACUCAGCCUAAGUGCCCCUCCUUGGGGACAUGCAGGCCCCUUGAUCCUCAGGCGCUAGCCUCCAUGCACAGUCACACCCAUAGGACGGGGCCCUAGGCAGAGACCCUGCUGUCUUGUGCCUUUUGUAUCCCCAACUUCUUGCUCAGAUCCUGGAUAGAGUGCAGGUCCUGCCUGCUGAAGGAAUGAGCAACGGGGUCCCCUGGAAGUAGCCCUAGGCCCAGCAACCCUGAUGACAGCAAGGCUCUGUGGCUCCUUUGAUACUGGGAGACCCAAGGCUAGGCAAGAGCAGAUCCCGUCCUCGAUGAUGGGAGAGGCACUCUCUGGCAACCCUGGACUGCCAUGGUCAACUCUCCCUCUUGAUCCCUGUGGACCUCCCUUGGUAACCACGGGCCCCCACAUCCUGUUCGGGGCCAUCAGCUUCCAAGAGCACCUCCCCAGUUUAUCUCACAAUCAUCUCACCACAGGGGCUGGAGUUAUUCAGGCGAAGUUUCCGUGUGAUUGUGUCUCCUCCAGAGACCUGGGUCCCAAACCUGGAGGCAAGAGAUGGGAUUGAGCAAGCCACAGACGGCAUACACCUGGCAGGCAGGGAUACUGCAGAGAGGAGUAUGAGAUAAGGACCAGGAGGUCCACAGUGGUCUGUCCUCACCUUGGUGACACUGAGACCCAGGGCUGGAGGCCUUCCCUGUGCACUGGUUGAGGGCCUGUAACCUGGGGCAGCUCACUGCUCUGGAAAUCCAUUCCCUGUCCCCUGAAUUAUGCUGAUCCCAGCUCAUCUGUGUGAGCAGCCCUAGGUCUGGUACUGACCUUGAGUUACACGGACUACUCACUACUUCUGCCCCCCACCCCAAAGUCCCUCAGAGACCCAUAGGUGGUGGCCACGUCUCCUAAGGCCUCUUUUCCCCCAGGAAUAACCUAACCUGGGACCCCUUGUAGGUGGCACCAGGUGGCUUUAGGCCAUAUGGAGAACAUUGAGGUAGAUGGGAAGCCCAAGCUGGAGGUUGGAGAGUUUGGGGAGCCACUAGGGAGCAGAGGAUGAGGGCAAGGGUGGGGCACCUGAUGAUGG